rnacentral:tRNA from 1 species
GGGACAUAGCUCAGUUGGUACAGUGCUUGCCUAGCAUGCACAAGUAAGUCCCUGGGUUCAAUCCCCAGCUCCCA